AUACCACUUGACCUUCCCACCAGCAGUGCACCAGCCUUGGAGGGUUCUGGAAACAGAUCCAGGAGGGGAUGGCUCGCAGGGGACUGAGGAGAGAUGGUUGGGACAGCCGACACAAGGAGGUUUUGUCUAUUGCAGAUCAUCUAGGGCUUCUUAGCCAUGUGCCUCACUCCUCAUCCCACGUGAUGAAGCAGCCACUGUCUGGAAUGUGUCAGAUCACCGUGGCAGAGGAAAGAAAUCUCUGAGGGGCCUGCACAGCAAUUAAAUACUCUGGCUGGGAAAUGACACAUUUCCGCUCACUGCUCAUUGGCCAGAACGAGUCACAUGGCCUUACUCAACCAUGAGCGGGCAGGAAAGAGCACCUCCACUGUGUGCCAAAAAGAGAAAGCAUUGGAAAUCUUCAGAAAAAUCAUUAAUCAUUUAACUCA